rnacentral:rRNA from 1 species
GUAGGGAAUAUUGCGCAAUGGACGAAAGUCUGACGCAGCGACGCCGCGUGAGUGAUGAAGGCCUUAGGGUCGUAAAGCUCUGUUGAAUGGGAAGAAAAAAAUGACGGUACCAUUCGAGGAAGGACCGGCUAACUUCGUGCCAGCAGCCGCGGUAAUACGAGGGGUCCUAGCGUUGUUCGGAAUCAGUGGGCGUAAAGGGUGUGUAGGUGGCCAUGUAAGUCAGGUGUGAAAGCCCCGGGCUCAACCCGGGAAGUGCACUUGAUACUGCGUGGCUUGAGUACCGAAGAGGGUAGUGGAAUUCCAGGUGUAGUGGUGAAAUACGUAGAUAUCUGGAGGAACACCGGUGGCGAAGGCGGCUACCUGGUCGAGUACUGACACUGAGGUGCGAAAGCAUGGGGAGCAAACAGGAUUAGAUACCCCGGUAGUCC